CCUACGGGUGGCAGCAGUGAGGAAUAUUGGUCAAUGGUCGGAAGCCUGAACCAGCCAAGUAGCGUGCAGGAUGACGGCCCUACGGGUUGUAAACUGCUUUUAUACGGGAAUAAAGCGCCUUACGUGUAGGGCGUUGCAUGUACCGGAUGAAUAAGGACCGGCUAAUUCCGUGCCAGCAGCCGCGGUAAUACGGAAGAUCCGGGCGUUAUCCGGAUUUAUUGGGUUUAAAGGGAGCGUAGGCCGCCUGUCAAGCGUGCUGUGAAAUGUCCGGGCUCAACCCGGGCCUUGCAGCGCGAACUGGCGUGCUUGAGUCCGCGGAAAGCAGGCGGAAUUCGUGGUGUAGCGG
rnacentral:rRNA from 1 species